rnacentral:rRNA from 1 species
CACAUGCAAGUCGAGCGGAUGAAGGGAGCUUGCUCCCUGAUUUAGCGGCGGACGGGUGAGUAAUGCCUAGGAAUCUGCCUGGUAGUGGGGGAUAACGUUCCGAAAGGAACGCUAAUACCGCGUACGUCCUACGGGAGAAAGCAGGGGACCUUCGGGCCUUGCGCUAUCAGAUGAGCCUAGGUCGGAUUAGCUAGUUGGUGAGGUAAUGGCUCACCAAGGCGACGAUCCGUAACUGGUCUGAGAGGAUGAUCAGUCACACUGGAACUGAGACACGGUCCAGACUCCUACGGGAGGCAGCAGUGGGGAAUAUUGGACAAUGGGCGAAAGCCUGAUCCAGCCAUGCCGCGUGUGUGAAGAAGGUCUUCGGAUUGUAAAGCACUUUAAGUUGGGAGGAAGGGCUGCUGGUUAAUACCCUGCAGUUUUGACGUUACCAACAGAAUAAGCACCGGCUAACUUCNUGCCAGCAGCCGCGGUAAUACGAAGGGUGCAAGCGUUAAUCGGAAUUACUGGGCGUAAAGCGCGCGUAGGUGGUUCGUUAAGUUGGAUGUGAAAGCCCCGGGCUC